rnacentral:rRNA from 1 species
GACAGAGGGUGCAAACGUUGUUCGGAAUUACUGGGCGUAAAGCGCGUGUAGGCUGCCCUGCAAGUCGGAUGUGAAAGCCCUGGGCUCAACCUAGGAAGUGCACUCGAAACUGCAGGGCUGGAGUCCUGGAGAGGAAGGCGGAAUUCUCGGUGUAGAGGUGAAAUUCGUAGAUAUCGAGAGGAACACCGGUGGCGAAGGCGGCCUUCUGGACAGUGACUGACGCUGAGACGCGAAAGCGUGGGGAGCGAACAGG